rnacentral:rRNA from 1 species
AAUGAACGCUGGCGGCAUGCCUAACACAUGCAAGUCGAACGGACGCACUGGGAGCUUUCUCCCCUACCGGUGGCGACUGCCGGGUGAGUAACCCGUGCAUCCGCUACCACUAAUACUUGGCUGACUUCGUAAAGCCAGAUCUACUACCACCUAAUAUGUUCCACCGCAGGAUUCACUAGUUCUUGACGCUUUUGCUGUCACUUUUAGCUGGUUCCGCGCCGGAUUAGCUAGUUGGUAAGGUCACGGCUUACCAAGGCACCGAUGCGUAGCCGACCUGAGAGGGUGAUCAGCCACACGGGAACUGAGACACGGUCCAGACUCCUACGGGAGGCAGCAGUGGGGAAUCUUGCGCAAGGGGCGAAAGCCUGAUGGAGCAACACCGCGUGAGUGAUGAAGGUCUUCGGAUCGUAAAGCUCUGUUAUUGGGGAAGAAGAAAAGCGGGUGUAACCGUGGACGUCCUGACGGUACCGAGAGAGUAAGCCCCGGCUAACUUCGUG